AAAUUCUGGAGAAAUUAUUCAAAGUAGUCCUAAACUGUUCAUCCUAUCCUGCCUUACCCUUCUCUCAGAAACCCCAACAAAGGCCAUGCCUUACAACUUACCUUGCUCCUGUUUCUGCCUCCUGACCACUCUGGUCUUCCCCAUGUUGCCAUGUAUGGCAUGCCUCCUGUCUCUAGGACCUAUGCAGCAAAAGAGAAAAACAAUGAAAGUCUGUAUUAGUAACCAGAAAAACGGUCAGAAGUCUGAGGUACCUGAGAGAAGACAGCAAAAUGAGAUCUGGAAUUUGAGGAGCACCUGUUAGGAGAAGAGCCAUCUCUACUGUAAGCACAAGCAACACAGAGGGAGUGGGGAUGUCAGGAGGGUAUCCCAAGGACAACAUACAGGAUUUUGUCAUAUUCUUCCUCCAAAGAUCACAGAAAACUUGUGAUCCAUAUCCACUAUUUUUUGUUCCAAGUCUCUGAUAAGCAAGUCAUCCAAUCCAUGUUAAAACAGGCUGGAUUCUUGCAUCAUAAGACGUUAAUUUAUAUUUUUACAAGAUCCUUUUAGCUGC
rnacentral:lncRNA from 10 species